GCAGAACCAGAUGGUGACAAUGAAGAGAGCCCGGGAGCAGUUUGGCAGCUCAGCAUCUCCUCUGUCCACUGCUCAAAUAAGCUGUGAACAGAAAGGUGUGUUUAUUCUCCAAGCAUGGAUAAAGGAAAAGCACAGUGGUUCGCACCUAGCAAGAGUAAGAAGAUGGUGGGUUCAAAUCUACUGGCCAGCUGGGAGUCUGGAGUUUGUAUGUUGCUUGUGUGUGAAUGUGACCGUGAUUGGCUUUCUGCUGCUCUGCGUGGCCCUGUGAUAGAUUGAAGAACUGUCCUGGUUGUAUCCCGCCUCUUGCUCUAUGACAGCUGAUGGGCUCCAUCCCCCUGUGGCCCUGAAUCGAAUAAGUGGAUGGAAGGAUGGAUGGCACAUAUAAAAUGCACUCACCUUGUGACACUCAAUGUGGCAGCAUGUUAAAUUUAAUAAAUGAAAAACUCAGCAGCAAUGUCUCUUUCCAGCAAUCAUAUCCCAUUUAUGAGACACGAGUGCAGUAAAAGUUCUCCUCCCCAAACAAAGGCUAUUUCUGUUCAUUAUUGGCUUUUUUGAUUUUCCAGAACUCUAAAUCAUGUAGAAAGUGUAAUGAAAUAUGUAAAAUGUUUUUGCAACUUUGUGCAUCUGCCUUUUAUUAACUUUAAUUUGCCCCCAAAAGUG